CUUUUGCUCAUCAUAAUGAAGUCUGGGAUCCUUUCCAUGAAUUCUAUUUGGAAGCCCCUCGAUCUCUCAUAGCUCCUGCACCAUCUUUCCACCAUGCUCCUGCAACGAUGGCUCAAAUUGAGUAUAAAGAAACACCUGAGGCUCAUAUAUUUAGAGCUAAUUUGCAUGGCUACAAGAAAGAAGAAGUGAAAAUACAGGUAUUCUUCUUACCACUAAACAUGUUAUACUUUUGAAAUUAUGCGUCUAAAUUUUGGUGAUUUCUUACCUAUACUCUUUCCGUCCCGUUUCAAGUGUUAUUUAGCCUAAAAAAUGUGUCAAAAAAAACCAAGACGAUUAAUUUUUCCAGUUUUAUCUUUGGUAUUAAAGAGGUCAAAAGUGAUUAAGGGUGACUUGCACACAUAGGAUACUCCGGUGCAACUAUUGAUUUUUGAUCCCUCUUGCCUCAUGGGCAAAACUUCAAGUUUAACAACUGUUGCCAUACAAUUACCUUGUGGGCAAUACGUUUGACUUGUGACCUUAAAGCUUUGUCCAUGGAACAAGCGGGGGUCAAAAAACUCCCUUAUCCCAAUUUAUAUGGCACCAUUUAAAUUUGAAGAGUCAAACAAGUUUUCUUUGACCAUAUUUUUUUCAUGUCUUUUAAAUAUUUGAAUUAUUAAUUGUUUUGACUUAUUAGUGCUUUAUAUUGUUUUUGAACAUUUAUAUUUUAUUUCAAAAAACUUAAAGCUACAUGAUUGCAUUCACAAUUAAAAAGUUUGACUCCCGAUAUUCUGCCACAUAAAUUGACAGUACUCACUUUCCAAUAAUAGCAUUUAAUAGUCAAAUGGUAUCAUUUAUGAAUAAUUUAGCAAAUUAUACUUCAUACUUAGUAUUUUCUUAAUGGACGCGCAAAAAUAUUAAAUGACCCUUAAAACUGGUCAGAGGUAAAGUAUAUCUAUGGUUCGUGCAAAAGAAAAUGUUUAAUUGAACCCACUGAUUAUAUGUUAUGUAUGCUUGUGCAGG
rnacentral:lncRNA from 1 species